AUUGAACGCUGGCGGCAGGCCUAACACAUGCAAGUCGAACGAGUGGCGGACGGGUGAGUAAUGUCUGGGAAACUGCCCGAUGGAGGGGGAUAACUACUGGAAACGGUAGCUAAUACCGCAUACCAUCGGAUGUGCCCAGAGGGGAUAGGGUAGCAGGUGGGGUAACGUCUCACCUAGGCGACGAUCCCUAGCUGGUCUGAGAGGGUGACCAGCCACACUGGGACGUAUAAACGGUCCAGACUCCUACGGGAGGCAGCAGUGGGUAAUAUUGCACAAUGGGCGCAAGCCUGAUGCAGCCAUGCCGCGUGUAUGAAGAAGGCCUUCGGGUUGUAAAGUACUUUCAGCGAGGAGGCGUUACUCGCAGAAGAAGCAUCGGCUAACUCCGUGCCAGCAGCCGCGGUAAUAC
rnacentral:rRNA from 1 species